UAGGGAAUCUUGCGCAAUGGGCGAAAGCCUGACGCAGCGACGCCGCGUGCGGGAAGAAGGCCUUCGGGUUGUAAACCGCUUUCAGGAGGGACGAAGCCACUCGGGUUAAUACCCCAGAGGGUGACGGUACCUCCAGAAGAAGCCCCGGCUAACUACGUGCCAGCAGCCGCGGUAAUACGUAGGGGGCAAGCGUUGUCCGGAUUUAUUGGGCGUAAAGCGCGUGUAGGCGGCCAGGUAGGUCAGCUGUGAAAACUCGAGGCUCAACCUCGAGAUGUCGGCUGAAACCAUCUGGCUAGAGUCCGGAAGAGGAGAAUGGAAUUCCCGGUGUAGCGGUGAAAUGCGCAGAUAUCGGGAAGAACACCCGUGGCGAAGGCGGUUCUCUGGGACGGUACUGACGCUGAGACGCGAAAGCGUGGGGAGCGAACAGG
rnacentral:rRNA from 1 species